GAUGAACGCUAGCGAUAGGCUUAACACAUGCAAGUCGAGGGGCAGCACAAGGUAGCUUGCUAUCUGGGUGGCGACCGGCGCACGGGUGCGUAACGCGUAUGCAACUUGCCCUAUACAGGAGGAUAACCCGUCGAAAGACGGACUAAUACUGCGUAUGCUCACAACUUGGCAUCAAGUGGUGAGGAAAGAAAUUCGGUAUAGGAUAGGCAUGCGUCCCAUUAGCUUGUUGGUGAGGUAACGGCUCACCAAGGCAACGAUGGGUAGGGGAACUGAGAGGUUUACCCCCCACACUGGUACUGGGACACGGACCAGACUCCUACGGGAGGAAGCGGUGGGGAAUAGUGGUCAAGGGGCGCGAGCCUGAACCAGCAAAGUCGGGGGAAGGAUGACUGUUUUGUGGAUUGUAAACUUUUUUUAUACGGGAAUAACAAGGGUCACGUGGGACUCCCUGCAUGUACCGUAUGAAUAAGCAGCGGCAAACUCCGU
rnacentral:rRNA from 1 species